rnacentral:rRNA from 1 species
AUUGAACGCUGGCGGCAGGCCUAACACAUGCAAGUCGAACGGUAGCACAGAGAGCUUGCUCUUGGGUGACGAGUGGCGGACGGGUGAGUAAUGUCUGGGAAACUGCCCGAUGGAGGGGGAUAACUACUGGAAACGGUUGCUAAUACCGCAUAACGUCGCAAGACCAAAGUGGGGGACCUUCGGGCCUCACACCAUCGGAUGUGCCCAGAUGGGAUUAGCUAGUAGGUGGGGUAAUGGCUCACCUAGGCGACGAUCCCUAGCUGGUCUGAGAGGAUGACCAGCAACACUGGAACUGAGACACGGUCCAGACUCCUACGGGAGGCAGCAGUGGGGAAUAUUGCACAAUGGGCGCAAGCCUGAUGCAGCCAUGCCGUGUGUAUGAAGAAGGCCUUCGGGUUGUAAAGUACUUUCAGCGAGGAGGAAGGCAUUAAGGUUAAUAACCUUGGUGAUUGACGUUACUCGCAGAAGAAGCACCGGCUAACUCCGUGCCAGCAGCCGCAGUAACAC